rnacentral:rRNA from 1 species
UACAGAGGGUGCAAGCGUUAAUCGGAAUUACUGGGCGUAAAGCGUGCGCAGACGGUUGCGUAAGUCAGAUGUGAAAGCCCCGGGCUUAACCUGGGAACUGCAUUUGUGACUGCAUCGCUGGAGUGCGGCAGAGGGGAUGGAAUUCCGGCGUGUAGCAGUGAAAUGCGUAGAUAUGCGGAGGAACACCGAUGGCGAAGGCAAUCCCCUGGGCCUGCACUGACGCUCAUGCACGAAAGCGUGGGGAGCAAACAGG